UACGUAGGGGGCUAGCGUUGUCCGGAAUCAUUGGGCGUAAAGAGCGCGCAGGCGGUCGUUCAAGUCGCGUGUGAAAGCCCCCGGCUCAACUGGGGAGGGUCACGCGAUACUGAUCGACUCGAAGGCAGGAGAGGGUAGUGGAAUUCCCGGUGUAGUGGUGAAAUGCGUAGAUAUCGGGAGGAACACCAGUGGCGAAGGCGACUACCUGGCCUGUUCUUGACGCUGAGGCGCGAAAGCUAGGGGAGCAAACGGG
rnacentral:rRNA from 1 species